UGGAGAUUUAUCUGAUGAGCUAAGGAU
rnacentral:piRNA from 1 species